UACUACGGCCAUGCCACCCUGAACAUGCCCGAUCUCGUCUGAUUUCGGAAGCUAAGCAGGGUUGGGCCUGGUUAGUACUUGGAUGGGAGACCACCUAGGAAUAUCAGGUGCUGUAGGUU
rnacentral:rRNA from 1 species